UACGGAGGAUGCAAGCGUUAUCCGGAAUUAUUGGGCGUAAAGCGUCCGCAGGUGGCUGUGUAAGUCUGCUGUUAAAGAGUGAGGCUCAACCUCAUAAAGGCAGUGGAAACUACACGGCUAGAGUGCGUUCGGGGCAGAGGGAAUUCCUGGUGUAGCGGUGAAAUGCGUAGAGAUCAGGAAGAACACCGGUGGCGAAAGCGCUCUGCUAGGCCGCAACUGACACUGAGGGACGAAAGCUAGGGGAGCGAAUGGG
rnacentral:rRNA from 1 species